rnacentral:lncRNA from 1 species
GUGGAAGUAAAACAGAUCCCUUAGGCCCGCGAGCCUAUCGUACUGCAUUUGUCAUUCUUACCCAGGCGACAUUUUUUUUUUCCCUAAGCUACCGCACACUAAACAGAGCGAGAGAGCUUUUCCCUGCAGCCCUGGUGAAGCCCCUGGUUUUUUACCCAUUGUUGGGAAGGUCCCACGGAGGCUGCUGCCCAGGUCAAGGUGUGCCCUGAGCUCGCUCGGACUCCAGCCCCACCCUUGCUGACACUCGAGGAAUGGUAAGUGCGGUACAUUCACUCCAGCUGAACUUGGAAUGGUACUGGGGACGCUGCCUGAAAAC